ensembl:snoRNA snoRNA:Psi28S-1837c snoRNA:Psi28S-1837c
UCUGCAGGCAACGGAUUGUCUGCUGCCUUAACUCGUGGCUCAGCACAGCUCAACGUCUGCAGAGAUCAACAGUGUCGAUUUCGUGAACUGAACAAGUUUAGAUACUUGAAAUGUUCGGUCUUUAAAGUUGUCCACAAUC